rnacentral:RNase_P_RNA from 2 species
GGAGUCGGCCGGGCAGCCGCUGUGCAUGCACAGAGGAAAGUCCGGGCUCCGCAGAGCGGGAUGCAGGGUAACGCCCUGGCGCGGCGACGCGACGAAUAGGGCCACAGAGACGAGUCCCCGGCCCCAAAAGGCCGGGGGGUGAAACGCGGCAACCUCCAUCCGGAGCAACACCAAAUAGGCAAGCGCAGUGCAGCAAUGCACUACUGGCCGGCUCGGCCGAGCUUGCGGGUAGGUGGCUAGAGCCCGGGGGCGACUCCGGGCCCAGAGGAAUGGCUGUCGGCGCGGCGCGAGCCGCGCCACAGAACCCGGCUUACAGGCCGGCUCCCGUU